rnacentral:rRNA from 1 species
GGGUUGUGAGGUUAAGCGACUAAGCGUACACGGUGGAUGCCCUGGCAGUCAGAGGCGAUGAAGGACGUGCUAAUCUGCGAUAAGCGUCGGUGAGGUGAUAUGAACCGUUAUAACCGGCGAUUUCCGAAUGGGGAAACCCAGUGUGUUUCGACACACUAUCAUUAACUGAAUCCAUAGGUUAAUGAGGCGAACCGGGGGAACUGAAACAUCUAAGUACCCCGAGGAAAAGAAAUCAACCGAGAUUCCCCCAGUAGCGGCGAGCGAACGGGGAGGAGCCCAGAGCCUGAAUCAGUGUGUGUGUUAGUGGAAGCGUCUGGAAAGGCGUGCGAUACAGGGUGACAGCCCCGUACACAAAAAUGCACAUAUUGUGAGCUCGAUGAGUAGGGCGGGACACGUGGUAUCCUGUCUGAAUAUGGGGGGACCAUCCUCCAAGGCUAAAUACUCCUGACUGACCGAUAGUGAACCAGUACCGUGAGGGAAAGGCGAAAAGAACCCCGGCGAGGGGAGUGAAAAAGAACCUGAAACCGUGUACGUACAAGCAGUGGGAGCCUCUUAAUGGGGUGACUGCGUACCUUUUGUAUAAUGGGUCAGCGACUUAUAUUCUGUAGCAAGGUUAACCGAAUAGGGGAGCCGAAGGGAAACCGAGUCUUAACUGGGCGUUAAGUUGCAGGGUAUAGACCCGAAACCCGGUGAUCUAGCCAUGGGCAGGUUGAAGGUUGGGUAACACUAACUGGAGGACCGAACCGACUAAUGUUGAAAAAUUAGCGGAUGACUUGUGGCUGGGGGUGAAAGGCCAAUCAAACCGGGAGAUAGCUGGUUCUCCCCGAAAGCUAUUUAGG